GACGAACGCUGGCGGCGUGCCUAAUACAUGCAAGUUGAGCGCUGAAGGUUGGUACUUGUACCAACUGGAUGAGCAGCGAACGGGUGAGUAACGCGUGGGGAAUCUGCCUUUGAGCGGGGGACAACAUUUGGAAACGAAUGCUAAUACCGCAUAAAAACUUUAAACACAAGUUUUAAGUUUGAAAGAUGCAAUUGCAUCACUCAAAGAUGAUCCCGCGUUGUAUUAGCUAGUUGGUGAGGUAAAGGCUCACCAAGGCGAUGAUACAUAGCCGACCUGAGAGGGUGAUCGGCCACAUUGGGACUGAGACACGGCCCAAACUCCUACGGGAGGCAGCAGUAGGGAAUCUUCGGCAAUGGACGAAAGUCUGACCGAGCAACGCCGCGUGAGUGAAGAAGGUUUUCGGAUCGUAAAACUCUGUUUGUAGAGAAGAACGGUGGUGAGAGUGGAAAGCUCAUCAAGUGACGGUAACUACCCAGAAAGGGACGGCUAACUACGUG
rnacentral:rRNA from 1 species